rnacentral:lncRNA from 1 species
GCCCAUCUUCCUUGGGUACUGAAGCUCGCGAGAGGAUCCUGGGGGCAGGCGCGUCGCGGUGGCAGUGUUUCUUGGGUGUGCGGGGCCGGGCGCCCCGUAGCCUCUGGUCUGCAUGGGGAUUACAGGUGUUUGGCAAGUGGCAUGGCAGAACAGAGAAUCUAGAUUCAGGACCUGGACUUGGAUAUAAGCUGUCACUUGUUACUUGGCCUUGCACUAAAUGACCAUUCUCAGGUAAAUGGGCAACCACCUGUUUCAGUGUUGUAAGGACUGAGGUAGGUGAUCUAUGUGAAAGCGUGAGAUACGUGCCAGGUAUCAUGAUCAAUACAUAAGGGUACACAACAAAGAAUAAAAGUUCUAUAUAAAUACAAGGCAAUAUUAUUACAUAACUCUACCUAUUGCAUAGUUUUAUAAAUCAUUUUUCCAGGAGUAAAGGCUGAAUGGUAACAAAGAUAUCUUACCUUGGCCAGUUUCUUCAUCCUUCUAAAAGUUUUUCAUAUUCCAAUACCUCUGAAUUUCUCAAAAAAUCAAAUUAAGACCUUAGGAAUCUUAUUUCCACCUCCCCUCUCCCAUCACUUUCCCUCUUUGGUCUUCUCAGAAUGAGAAGAGCUCCACUAUUUCUUCUAAACACCAUCCAGAAUGUGAGAAUGAAACCCAAACUGAGACCCCUGGCUGGACUUGAGCAGAAUGACAGCAGAGACAACUGGGGCAUGCCUCUAGGCAAGCUUUAUUCUUUGACUCCUUCAUCCAGGAAGGGGCUGUUAGUUGCAUCUCACCCAAAUGGAAUGCGAUGGGAAUUGGGGGCU